rnacentral:rRNA from 1 species
UACGGGGGGAGCAAGCGUUGUUCGGAUUUACUGGGCGUAAAGGGCGUGUAGGCGGCCACCGCAAGUCGGUUGUGAAAUCUCCGGGCUUAACCCGGAAAGGUCACCCGAUACUGCGGGGCUAGAGUGCAGAAGGGGCAACUGGAAUUCUCGGUGUAGCGGUGAAAUGCGUAGAUAUCGAGAGGAACACCUGCGGCGAAGGCGGGUUGCUGGGCUGACACUGACGCUGAAACGCGAAAGCUAGGGGAGCGAACGGG